rnacentral:rRNA from 1 species
GACGGAAGGUGCAAGCGUUGCUCGGAAUCACUGGGCGUAAAGCGCACGUAGGCGGACUCGUAGGUCAAUUGUGAAAUACCUGGGCUCAACCCAGGAACUGCAGUUGAAACCACUUGUCUUGAAUACCUGAGAGGGUGGGGGAAUACCUGGUGGAGAAGUGAAAUUCGUAGAGAUCAGGUGGAACACCGGAGGCGAAGGCGCCUGCCUGGCAGUGUAUUGACGCUGAGGUGCGAAAGUGCGGGGAGCAAACAGG